AAGGUGGAUUGGGAGAAAUUUCAUUUAAAUAAUAAAUAAACGAGCAAGGAACGUAACUUCAUUUCUACCCGAAUAAUGGGCCCGAGACCACGUUUCCGCGCCACGAAGACAAUGAUAGAACAAAUGAUAGAACGAGAUUUGGCAACGAAACGCCUAAAGUUUGCCUAACAUUUCCAGCUUGGCGCCGCGGAAAAUCGGUCGAACAAAUAAUAACAGUCUAAAGAAACUAUAUACUUCCUCCACGUAGCGAGUCGCCACCUAUUUAUUUCUCGUAUGCACGAUCGGCUCUUGUGGAACCAUUAAGCCUCGAAACAAAUAUAACGGUCGAUUCAGAAGCGACCAGCCACUGAUCGAAGGAAGGGAGGAGAAAGGGGAGGAGUAUAUAUUCCACGUUACCGUGGAAUUAUUUAGCAUUUAUGUCGGCCAGAUUUAUGCAACCGGUAGAGCGCGGCCGGGGCAAACGUUUCACGAACGCUUUUAUUGCGGCUACACCAAAUUCAUUACUACGCCUCGUUUACCCGGUAUUCGUCUGCUCGUUAUAAUUGCUCCAUUGUGUCCGGGCCCGAGAGACUUGUGCCGCACGAGAAAAACGAAGGCACGGAAGCGAGGGAGAAAAAGAGAGGAAGAGAGAGGCGAGGAGCACCUUUGAAACCAGUCGACCACGCCAUUGUGCGCCCCGGACUUUUCGCAUAAAACGGUCUUUACGGUCUAAACCGAAACCGAUGACGCAACCAAUCCUCGGCUGGAGCCGCGAGAAGAACCCAGAAUCGAGAUCGUAAACGCGUGUAAUACGAGGAAUGGUAACGUCGCCUUGCCUAUGUGUGGUGUGUCCUUUUCGAAAAAAAAAUGUUUUGGCCCAAGAGAAUCGAAAAGGGAAAUAUAAAGAUCCAAGAAGAGAUGAUAUGAAAGAUAAAAAAAAAAAAGAAAAAAAAAUCAACGAUGAAUACAUUGUAAAUUUUGCAUAAACGUACGAAUAUUUAUUCAGUUUAAUGACGAGUAUCUGUUCGAUUUAUAGAAAUUUUCGUACAGAUUUUAUUUUUUAGAAUUUUAUUAGAACAAAUGGAAGAAAGGAUUUCUUACGAAUAUUAGAAGAAAAAAAAUCGUAUGUAAAGAAUUUCUACGCGGAAUUUAACGAGUGUUAUAAAGUGAAUGUGAUUAUUGAUCUACGACCGAUCAAGCACGGUACUUUUCUACUUGCCCGCAUAAGAUUUCAAACUUUACAGUUGUACGUUCGAAUCCUUUAAGACCUUUUGAUGGUAAUAAGAUUACAAUCAAGAAAAAAAGGAUAAGAAGCAAAUAUAAAAUAUUACGCGUGUUACAGAUUUUCAUCCGCUUAAUACAAUUUUAUCUGCGCAAAUAAACUUUGUUACCCGAUUACAAAAACAUGCAAAUGGAGGACCCACUGUAUAGCGAAUCACAAUAUACACAAAUUUUUAUCCCAUAUUAUUUCCUCUCCCCCCCGUUUAAAAUUUUUAUUCAAUAUCUAUUGAUAAAAUUCUCUUAUCUGGCCAUGAAAAUAUGCAAACAGUGAAUCGAUGGAACAAACGAUCAUUACACAAAUUUUCAUUCAUCCGGUAUCUGAUCCGAUAUUGGACGAUCACGAAAAUAUGCAAAUAGGGAAUCGAUACGACGACGUUUACACAAAUUUUCAUUCACACCAAUCCGUAUCUGAUCCAACGUAAAAAUACCCCCCCCACGAUAUAAAUUCCUUGGUCCGACGACAAAGAUAUGCAAAUAGUGAACUGAUACAACACGCGCCAUUACACGAAAUUUUAUUCACAACAACCUGUAUCUGAUAAUGCAAAUUUAAAUCGUAGAGCGUGAAAAGACAAUUUUUAACAAAACUCUUCGUUUUCGAAGAAUCGAUCUUGAAAUAUUUCUUUCGCGCGAAAGAUACAUAAGAGAAUCGAUUCGAAUUUUCUUCCCACGUGAUAAUAAUUCAACAGCCAGAGUAAGAGUAAACAGAAAUGACAGUACGUUAAAAAUUGUUCCACUAAUAUUCCUUACACUUUCACUUUUUCAUUCGACGCCACAAUUUUUUUUUUCUUUUCAUUUCCAAACUCGAUUCCACCAUCUUCACCGAAAUUUCCCUUGUGCGAUAAAUUCGAAGCAUUUCCCAAUAUACACCCAAUCGUCCCUCUAACGCUCUGACCAGUAUCUUUCCCACGUGAAUCGGAGAAAACCCGUUUCAAAAGUGCUCAGCCCGGGAUUGGACGAAAAACGCGCGCAACGAGAUAAAACAACGAAGAAUAAACGAGCCCACGCUUGCUCGUAGAAAAAUCGGCAAAAGGAAACCCGUUGAAACGCGAAGGAGCGUGGAAAUAAAGAAGUCGGGAAACGGGCGACUCUCUGGAAAUGACUUUAACCUGUUCGCUCGCCGCAUCGGAACACGAAACAAAUUUUAUUAGCUGGUUACCAAGCGUAAUAACGCUUGGACCCGCUUCAACUUUUAUCUCACCCCCCUCCCCGAUUAUUUUGUUGUUCGUCUACCUUUCGUAAAUAUUUCUUUUUCUCCUUUGAAUUCCUUCUUGGAAGAGAAUGUACGUAUGUUUGGUUCGUGGGGAGAGACGAGAUUGAAGGUGCGACGUUGGGCUAAGAAGAAAUUAGAUAUGCGGAUUCGGAAGUUCUAUCUAAAGCCUUGGGAUGGCGGGGUGUUAUGGCCGAUGAAAUAAUAUAAGAUUCCGCGAAUUCCGGUUAAGAUAAGAUGCUUAUGGCCCUCCUACUCGAACGUGUGCGCGAGUGGUUCGUGCGAUUCGGGGCCAGUCGUUGCUUUUAACGUAGUUCGUGAACGGGUUAUGAAAUAACGAAGAGGUAUCGAAAAGGAUUUGAACACGCAUAUUUUCUCGAUGUGAACAUUUUUGAGAAAAAUUGAGGAAAGGUGUGUACAAUUUUGAAAAUCAUUCCAAAUAAAUAAUCUUCCUUUUGAAUAGUACAAAUUAAUUGGAAAUAAAGUUAAGUAGACAUGUGGAAGAAAUUGUCACAAUUUUAAUAUCCCAAUUCAAAAAGAAUGAUGAUAAAGUAAAAAAGAGAAUGUCUCGAAUAAUUGCUUCAAUAAUCUCGAUAAUUAAAAACAACUUAAAAAUGUGGCACGAUCAUGGCACAUCACCAAGUAUAUAUAUAAAAAUUGUUCCUUGUGUCACUUCUUGUCAUCAUAAAGGUAUAAAUAUAAAAAGGGGAAUAUUUCAAGAGAGAAGGCAUCAGAAAGAAAACGAAUUCGCAUAAAGUACAAUUAAUAAACAAGUGAAACGAGAGUCCACGACACGUAUAUACACAGCAGCAGCUGGUGUAACACGCGUCCAUCCAGACAGGUUGGUGCUCUCUCUGAGGAAAAACGCGGUCAACAAGUCGGCACGGGAAUAUUCGAAGCCAGCUGAUUGGACUUCCCGCUACAAAUAGGCGGGAUACGAACGGCGCGGCCAGCCACAAUUUAUUUCAAUAAUUCGCCCGUUAAAAUGCUCAUCGAUCGUCUCGCUGCGAUCCGAAUUCGGAAAUUCUGGAAUGGUCUCAAGCGUUUGGAAAAAUGUGAGACAUCGCGUUGAAAUUGUUAUUGGUUUCGAGUUUCUAGCGAUGUGAAUGAUGAAAUGGUAAGAAUGAUGAAAGUGACGAAGAAAAAGAUCAUGUAAUUGUAAAUGACUGUUUCUUACACGAUGAAUAAAUUAUAUUGCAAUGUCUAGAUUUUGGAAUGAGAAAUUUCGAAGAUAUGUUUUGUGCAAAUACAUUCUGUAAAUUUCAAUAAAUUUCUCACUUAAAUUUUCCAAUGUAUUACAAAAUCGUGAAAAGAUAAUUAACAACUGGACAAUCAUCAAUUCGCUAAGCUGCUAAAAUUAUUAAAUUGUUUUCGAAUUAUUUCAUUCUCCCCUGCCUUUUCCUUAUUGAAAAAAAAAAAAGAAAAAAGGAAAUCGAAGAAACCGAGAGAUGUAAUUAAAAUUGAUAUUUAUCUCGCGAGAGAAAAAUAAGAAAAGGGAAUGGAGCGGAUGAUGGAGCGGGCACUCCAACAACAACCAACCAAAGAGCAAUGAAUCGCGUCUCUUUAAUUGCUCCACCCAUAAGCGCAACCGAAAGAAAAUUAAAUUACAAAGAUUGAUACGUCUGUAUCGUGAAUACGGUGGCGCGAUGGGUCUCGUGUAUCGUCUCGAAUUUGAAUUAGGUGAGCUGUGAGUAGCAAUUUCGUGUAGCAAUAUGUGGCGCACACGAGGCCACGAGCAAUAAUUAAAUGGUAAUUAAAGAAUUUAUUUGCAGUUUGUAAUCGAGAUUGUAUAUGCGCAGUAUACGAGAUGGUAAGGACCUCUUAAUUAACCAUUAAUUCGCAUCGGGUGCACGGAACGAAUUGUGCCGCAGGCUUUUAUCCCGAUAAAAUGUGCGAUCUCACCAAUGGUUUGUAUUUAUGCUAAAGUGUUCUUACACGUGUAAUAACUAUAUAUACAAUUCCAAUUGUUACUCGUUAUGAUUCAACAUAUAUGUGAUAUAUAUGUGUUUGAUUUCUCGCGUCAAAAUUUUUGUUCGAGUUUUAACAAACGUUCUUGCUGAAACGAGAAUAGUUUAUAUUAAAAAAUAGGAAAAUUCAUUAAGUACAACUCUUCGUUAACAGCAAAUUUUGUGAAAACAUUAAAACUCUCUUAACUCGUUCAACCUCCUAAUUCUCAUCUUCUUAAUUUCUAAUCAUAUGAAUUACGUAUCAUGGAAGAUACGAAUUCUAUGCAAAACAUAAAAUCAUGUGUUCAAUUACAUUUUUGUGGAAAAAUUUAAUUCUCGCGCAAAAAUCUCACAUUUAAAUCUCCACUCCUCGUGGAUCAUUCAAUCGAUCGAAUGACGCGACUUUCUCUCGAUAAUAAAUCAAUUUACGAUUCACGAUGCGUGUCGCCUCGUUGUCAGAAAUCGUGCGGAGUCAUCGGCCGAUCGGGACGAUGGCGCAACGGCGGAUGUCGCCGGGGAGAUCCGAUAUCCGGCGACGAAUUCGCGAAAGCCGCUCGUUAGCGCGAUUAUUACCAGCUGAUUCAUGCCUUAAACUUACCUCGAACUCCAAUGGAUCGAACAAUGAGGAUCGAAGGAAGGCAGGGGCACGGGGGAUACGGGGCUGGUAAUAAGCCGGGGCGGGGUUCAUUAAGAGCAUUGUUGCAUCCAUCUCGAGCAUGGCCGCCUCCCUCCUUUUUACGUCCACGCGUGCACAACUCUUCCUCCGCUUCUUUGGGAACGGAAUCCCCGGCGUCCAAGGAUCGAAGGGAGGACACGCGUUUAUUUAUCCACGCUCGUCGUCGAUAAGAUGAAAGCCUCUUGUUGUACGAAAUUUCCAACGUGUUGCCUCGAUUAUGCUUUUUUUUUUGGGAGGGGACAGCUUGAUUUACCAAUUUGGAAGGAGUAGGAGGCGAGAUAGAAAGGAGGGAUAUAUUGUUGAGAGGAUGUUGAGAGUUGGAAUGGAAAAAACGAGAGAGAGUGUGUAUAAUUUUGAUUUGGGAAAGGUUUUUAUAGGUAUUUUAUUUCAAUUAUUUGGAUAACGUAUUUGUUUUCGAAGUAGUAAGAAACAUUUGUAUAAUCUUUUCGAGGACAUUUAUUCUUUUUUUAAUAAGCAUCGAUAAUAUUUUAAUUUGACAAUUAUUGUUUCGAAAGUAUCGUAACUUUAAUGCCUUGCAGAGUUUCUGAAAGAAGAACGAAAAAUGUCCAAGAAAAUUGGGGAUUUAAAUAAAUUGGCUGGUUUUUUAAUAGCUCGACGGAAGCCAUUAAUAGAAAAUUACUAGAUAGAAUCGAAACAGAAAUAAUUCGUUGAUUCAUAUACCACAGCCCAGUUUAUUAGUGAAUUCGUAGUUUCACGUGUAUGAACGAUGAAUCGAUGUUUAUCCGUAGCCUAUGAUUCAAAGAGACUUAUUUUUAUCAAGUACAGAAAACGGAACGUUAUUUAUUUUUUGGCCAAGAAUUUCAAUGAACAAGUGCAUUGCCAUGCAAUAGCGAAAACUCUGAUUUUACGACUAUCAAGAUAUUGUCGUUGUAAUUAUAAUACACGAAUAUCCGUGUAACAUCUUUUAAUCCGCAAGAUUCCCAAGGAGCGCCAUAAUUUUAGGCUUGAGGACAAAUGUGAAAAUAUAUUGACUCAUUCGUCACGAAUUUCAACAAUGGUUUUGCAAUACAGACAAAAUCGUGGGAGGUAAUGACAAGUUUAACACUCAGAGUAAACAACCGAAAUAAACGAGCUCCCGUAAUAAUUGUUGCGACAAUGGAUUAUCCAUUUCUCGAGAAAUAAACGCGCGAAAAUGUCGUCUAAAAAUCCCCAAUGGCUUUUCACCGUACGUCAAAACAUUCUCGAAUUUCCGCCACGAUUUUAUCAGAGUUUUAUUCGCGAUGUUUAACGAGAUGUUGGUUAUACUAUCAUGUUGAUGUUCACCGUUGCACACGAAGAACAUCUCGAUGCCAAGUUGUUAUCGCGCGAAAUCUUGCAAUUUGAAUUAUUUUUAUCGGCGCAUGAUCUCGCUUAAAUUGCCUCGAUUAUACAUCCGUUUUAAUGGUGAGUAAUUUCGAGAGAUCGGCAAUGAUGCGCGAAUAAUGCUUUAUGAAUUAUUUUUUAAGGAAAACGAUCUUCUUCGAUAUCCUUGUAAGAAUAAAAUUAAAAAUGCGCUUUAAAAGGAAGCUUACUUAUUAUUUAUAUCUUAAAUAUCCUUAAAUAUUAUUCGUUCAAACGAAUACAAAUGCACAUAAAAAGUUUCUAUUACGAUUGAAUCUUAAAAUUCAAUAUCAAUUUCGUUUCCUCUUAAUCAUUCCAAUUUUUCACUCGUUCGAUCGCAUGAUCGCAUAAUUCGAGACAAGCCUGUCAACUCCUUUCGAAUGAUAUCACGAGGAAAUACGUGAUGAAAAGAGUCAUCGAGCCACACGAAACACAUAUAUUUAAUUACAGGAAGUUCCUCGAUGAAUGACAAGUCAGCCUCGUUUGUUAAACAAUUAUGUCAAUCGUACCUAAAAAAAAAAAAAGAAGAAGGAAGAGAAAGGAAAAGAAAAAGAGAGAUAAUGAGUGGCGAAAGAAGAGGAAGAGAUAAGGAUGCGCUUAGUCGAGGCCAUCGAAUAAUUAAUAUUCUGGUCGGCUAAUGGCGUGCAUGUAGCGAUAUUAUGCCGGUUGAUUGAGCUCUCUCUCGAAAAUUCGCUGACUCCUCGUUGCUCAUUAUUUCAAUCGAGCCUCGUAAUACCGCCACCAUCCCUUUUGAUCCGCUUAAGAAUUAACCGGCCAUCCCUCCUCCUCCUUCUUCUCCUUUUCCUUCUCUCUCUCUCUUUCUCUCUCCUCGAUUCCAUCCUCUUUCGGAUCAUACGGUUUCUCUGAUCUUAUUCGCUCGUGAUGAGCACCACGAGAGAGUUGAUCACGCGGCCGUAAAAGCGUCGAAAGCUUAAAAGGCGAAAUUAGAACCGAGAUCCAUCUCGCGCUCGAGGCGAUCUCUCGAGAUCUUGGUCCACGAUUCAUCGAGUUUUUAAUCUUGCAUCAUCGGACAUCUUGUAUCAUCCCGAUCGGAAUUUCGAUAUGAGCAAGGAAGUGAUUAUUCGUUAAAAGUUUCGAGAACUUUUAUUUUCGAACGUGGCUUUUAAUAGAAAACAUUUAAUAGAUUUACAAGAAAAGACUAUAUAAUCGUAAUUACGAUUUUGCGCAAAGUAAGAGGAAAGAGAUAAAAAAAAAAAAGAAAUCUCCCAAGGACGAUUAAUUUAGAGAGACCUAGAUUAGAACUUCCACAGUGGUUGAUACAGUCGUCAUUCGAAUACAGUCGGCUCGGUCGGAAAUGAUAUUUCGCGCCAGAAAAUAGGCUGCGUAUUAAUACCAUCCUUAUUAAACCGUGUGUGUCUCGAGAUUUGAUCCGUAACGUUCAGGCGUGGCCCGAAGCUUAAUAAGCACGGGUUCCUGCCAACAAGCAACGGCUGUGCGUGAUUAAACGAACGUUGGAUCCCUCCACGUACGUAUUUAUACGUUAUUUCGAAUUGGACAUCGGCGCGGAACCGAUAAGUGAAUCCUCGCUCCCGAGAACGGCUUCACGCUCAUCGACCACGCUCCCGCGCCCAUAAUUCCCCUUAAUUUUAACCGGCCACGUAAGAAGGGAUGGAAACACGUUUUCUUUCUUCCUUCCUUUCUCUCUCUCUCUUUCUUUCUUUUUUCCCUCCCCACCGGUUCAACAGGCCGUGGUUGUUUAAUUAUAGAGAUUGCGCGCAAGAUCCAAUCUAGAAACGAUUUUAGAUGGGCAAUUGGGACGGUCGCGAGGGGUGGUAUUCCGCCUCGAAUUUUGGCGAAGCUUGUCCGCGGUCUAAGCUAGAAGCUAGACGCCAUACCGGGUGUUGGGAAUGUGUACAGGGACAACAUGCCACGGAUGUUUGGUAGUGCAAGUCCCGUUCGGGGAUUGGUUGCAUAACAGGCCGACGGAAACUCGAAUAGAAAGGAAGGGAGAGGAUUUUGUGCCAGCACGCAGCAACCGUCACAUCACAAUUUCGCUUUCUUUGGACCGCUUUGCGGAUCGUUUCGAAGGAGUGAAUCAAUCCAGGAUUCAUCCGCGUAAGAUUUGUAUCUCUGGUUUAUAUUGCGAAGCGUGAGAAAGUACAUAUGUUUAUGUACGAAUUUUUUUAAUUAUAUGGAUGUACACGAUAAAGAUUACUAAGAACUGUUUCUAUUUAUACGAUUUCGAGUCAAAUUUCAGAUUAGGAAUUGUUAUUAUAUAUUGCAGAAAAUAUACGAAAGUUAUUAAAUGAAGGGAGAUUAUAAUUAAUGGGAAGAAUUUAAACAUCUGUUUCUC
rnacentral:lncRNA from 1 species